rnacentral:rRNA from 1 species
UACGUAGGGUGCAAGCGUUAAUCGGAAUUACUGGGCGUAAAGCGUGCGCAGGCGGUUUUGCAAGUCUGUCGUGAAAUCCCCGGGCUUAACCUGGGAAUUGCGAUGGAGACUGCAAGGCUGGAGUUUGGCAGAGGGGGGUAGAAUUCCACGUGUAGCAGUGAAAUGCGUAGAGAUGUGGAGGAACACCGAUGGCGAAGGCAGCCCCCUGGGUCAAAACUGACGCUCAUGCACGAAAGCGUGGGGAGCAAACAGG